GGCUUGGUGGCGGAAUUGGUAGACGCUGUGGAUUUAAAAUCCAUUGUCCAUAGGACGUGCGGGUUCGAUCCCCGCCCAAGCUACCA
rnacentral:tRNA from 1 species